rnacentral:lncRNA from 1 species
UUUCAAACCUCUUACUAAGGAAGAAAAGACUUGUCAUUGUCAAGAAGGAUUGUGCUUAUAUUAUAGAGAACCUAAGCGUGCUGUUCAACAUUGUCCAAAGAAGCAAUGCAACCAUAAAAUAAGGAGUACAACUAUCAAAGAAGAUAGUAUGUCAGAAAACGAGUUUGUUCAGCUACAAUAGGGAGCAUGGAGCUGGAACCUUGUACAACACCUAGUGAAGGUCCUA